rnacentral:lncRNA from 1 species
CGAUCGAUCAUGUCUUUGUCGAUUUCAGCAUUUUAUCAUGUUCCAGAUGAUGUUCAGCUCAGACAGGGUUUUGUACUGAUUUUGGUUUGAUUUCUUCAGUCGGAUUCUCGCAAAUUCAACAUUUUUGACCUCAAGUUGUUCGAUUACCGAUGAGACCUGAAGUUUUUGUGGAUUUUAUUUCGACCUGAAGCUUUUUUGUGGAUUUUAUUUCGAGCUAGGGUUUCAAAGUCA